UGAUCGAUGCACAAAGGCUUAGAAGAAACGGAGGGGAUCUGGCACCUGUGAGCCACAUUGAGUUUCAAUUGACAUAUGCUGAGUUCGAAGGUGUUUCUUCAGCGUGGGUAGGUGGCUGAGCCUCAGAGACCUCUCCCCGCAAUAUGUUGGACUAUUCCAGCUCAAUAGGUUUUUUACUGCUCGCAAUUGGAUGAAGUUGUGCCGAAGGUUUUAUGGAUGGAUGUUCCUGGCUUCAACCGUCCUAUUCAUCCGUGCCAGGGGCCAGCACUAAGUUGGACUAUUUAUGGUGCUAAAACUGUGUUACGGCUCGCUCACCUUCACCUUCACAUCCUCCUCCACCUCCUCUCUGACUCAGCUGUGCGCACCUGUUACCAAUCUCCACACCUGCCUCCACUUCCCAAUCAACUGCCUGCCACAAUAAGAGACCAGUCUGCACGUCAUUCAACGCCAGAGCUUCACCUCACCUCUUAUGCAAUACCGAGCCAACUCAGCCUUCAAGCACAAUAAAGAAAUCUGCAGAGCCACCGCUUCCCACCAACUUUCCUUUUUUUCUCUUUGUCUAAUAAACACACC